rnacentral:rRNA from 1 species
CGAAAGAUUGAUCCAGUUACUUAGUAGAAUGAUUGGUUAACAAUAAAAUUCAAUAAUUUAUUUAAAUAAUGAUUAAAUAAUCUAAUCCCAACCAAAAUUUGUGCCAGCAGCUGCGGUAAGACAAAGGGGGUUAGCGUUAAUCGUAAUGGCUUAAAGGGUUCGUAGAAUUAGAAUUAAUAAAAAUAAUUUAAGAAUUAUUCAAGUAAAGAUGAAAUAAUAAUUAUAUGAAUAAGACUUAUAAAGUGAAAAUUUAAAUUAUAUAUUAAUUGACAUUGAGGAACGAAGGCUAAAGUAGCAAAUCGGAUUCGAUACCCGAGUAGUUUUAGCAGUAAACAAUGAAUACAAAUGAAAAUUAAAGUAUUCCGCCUGAUGACUACGUUAGCAAUAAUAAAAAUCAAAACAAUAGACGGUUACAGACUUAAGCAGUGGAACAU